GCUAUAUAAGUCUUCACUGUCGGGCUAAGAGAGAUUCCCUGGUCUACAGUCUUGUUGCUGUUUGGAUGUGUGGCUCCUCUGUGUAACCAAGGUAUAUGUAGAUGUUUAUACGAUGUAGCAGGCUAAGCAUUUAGCAUUGUUUGUUUAAUACUGGGUUAUUGGAAAAUAGGUGUCAGACUGAUUGCCAGACGCUUCCGGGUAGUCGUGCGGUGUACUACCGAAGGUCUCGGGCAAGGCACCUGCCGGGUAGCUGUACCACAAUUAAGACGCAAUAUCUAAAAGGUAAAUGUUUGUGUUACAGGUAGAACCAGUGUGUUAGGAUUGAUAGUCUUGAACACAUGCAAAAUGAGUCUGAUUGUGUUGUCCUGAUGUAAUGCAUGGUUGUGUUAAUUGUCAACCCUUAAUAGAAAUGUAUUUAAUGAAUAUAUU
rnacentral:lncRNA from 1 species